UACGGGGGGGGCAAGCGUUGUUCGGAAUUACUGGGCGUAAAGGGCUCGUAGGCGGCCAACUAAGUCGGACGUGAAAUCCCUCGGCUUAACUGGGGAACUGCGUCCGAUACUGGAUGGCUCGAGUUUGGGAGAGGGAUGCGGAAUUCCAGGUGUAGCGGUGAAAUGCGUAGAUAUCUGGAGGAACACCGGUGGCGAAGGCGGCAUCCUGGACCAACACUGACACUGAGGAGCGAAAGCCAGGGGAGCAAACGGG
rnacentral:rRNA from 1 species